rnacentral:rRNA from 1 species
CGAGGGUGCAAGCGUUAAACGGAAUUACUGGGCGUAAAGCGCGCGUAGGCGGCUUGGUCAGUCGGAUGUGAAAGCCCCGGGCUUAACCUGGGAAUUGCAUUCGAUACUGCCAGGCUAGAAUGUAGUAGAGGGAAGUGGAAUUCCAGGUGUAGCGGUGAAAUGCGUAGAUAUCUGGAGGAACAUCAGUGGCGAAGGCGACUUCCUGGACUAACAUUGACGCUGAGGUGCGAAAGCGUGGGGAGCAAACAGGAUUAGAUACCCGAGUAGUCC